GAAUGCGACAUGCGGCUCAAACUCAUGAACUGCCAGAUCAUGACCUGAGCCAAAGUCAGAUGGAAAGAGCACAGAGUCUAGAGUCAGAUAAACUUAGAUUUGGUUUCCUCUAUUAGUACAUUCCUUGAGUAAGUUAUUUAUCCUGUAUUAAUUUCUACUUAUCUGUACUAUGAGAACACUUAACUGACAUUGUAAGAUUUGCUGAGAAAUCAUGUAUGUGUAAAGCUUGGUGUCUAGCCAGUAGAUGUAGUCAACAAAUGUAUAUUUCUCACUGUCUUUCCCAAAUCCCUGGGUGCCCUCUGGACCCUCCUUGGCCCAAAAACAGCAUAUAGAAACGCUUUCUAAACAUUGAGAGUUCACGGAUGCAUAGCAUUUGAGAGAUUGACAUAAGGUACCAACAUUCUUUGUUUUGCCAACUUGACAUUUUUUAAAGCCAUCUACCAUCACCUCUUCAGAAAAGAGAACAUUUUAAUACUAAGAAAAAAGUUAAGUACAGUCUUCUUGGAGCAGUGAACAAUCUUUUAAAGUGAAUAAACCUAGCUUCUGAAGAAAGCAACCAUAUUCCCUUAUUUUCCCAUUUCUCCUGUGAAAAUUUCAUCAUGACCUUGAUGUGGCAGAAUGAGAACAUCUGUGCUAGACAAACAAGUUUAAAAGCACAUUUUAUCAAAAGCUCUUUGAAAGUCAUAUUGAGCUUUUUUUCUCUCUCUCUUGUUUACCUUAAUUGGGAUUCCAAUAUGAAUGACAACAUAAUUUAGCAUACCACUUUCUCCGAUCUUCAAGUUAUACAGCUGAGCAGUGACUUUUUAUUCUUUUAAAUGCAUGUUUAACAUUAAUAUAUUAUCCCUCAAAUUCCAAUUUCAGUUGUAUAAUUUUGAGAAUCAGAGACCAGAUAUCCCCACUUGUGAAAAAGAAUCAACUCAUCAGAAUUUUAUUAGUUUUUAUUUAUUUAUUUAUUUUGAGAGAGAGGGAGAGAGUGCGAGCAGGCAAGAGGGAAAGGGAGACGGAAUCCCAAGCAGGCUCUGCACUGUCAGCGCCGAGCCCCACACGGGUCUCAAACCCAUGAACCCGUGAGAUCAUAACCUGAGCCGAAAUCAAGUGUCACACGCUUAACCAACUGAGCCACCCAGGUGCCCCAAUCGGAAUAUUUUUAAAUAAUUACUAUGGGGAUUCAAGGUAAAGACAUGUUUGGGAUUUAAUGUUUCCAUAACUUGUCAAAAGAAAACAUGCCCAGUUUUGCCGGUUUCUAGCUCUCUGACUUACUAAUUCAUUAAGCAGAUGUUUACUGAGCACCUACUGUAUGUAGAGCACUGCUGGGACUAGAGAAGAAUAAGGCAGCAUUCCUGUGCCAGAAGAGCUCACGAUCUGGUGGAGAAGAUGCCCACAGAAACAAGUAAGAGGCUUGGAAGUGUCUUGUGCCUGUGGCCCUAGAAAUGCCCCUUCUCAUCCUAACCCCUGUCUGUUCUCCCCCUCCUAGUAACUCGUGGCAGCCAGUUGAUGUCAGGCCAGUCUUUGUUCACCUAAUAUUACGAGCAGCGAGGAGAAUAUGGGUAAAUAUUAUGAACAACGAGGAGAAUAUGGGUAACAGAGUUUAAAAGUAAGCCAUAGGUGAGGCAGAGAAGUGGAGUACCUCCAUGGCAUCAUUUUUCCUGGCCUCUAGUCCUCUCCUCCCAGCCUAAAAUCUUUGUCUGUUAUUUCCCAAGACAUCUUCACUGUCUUCUGCUUUGAGCUAACUCCUGCUUAAUAGCUCCCCUCUCCUCAACUGCUCUCCUGUUCCCUUCAGUUCUGAAGCCUUGCCUGUUUUGUUUUGUUUUGUUUUGUUCCGUUUUGUUGUCCAGAUUUGAGUCAUCUAUGCUCCUGGGGAACCCAGGCUCCCCUUGUUAACCACAGCCACUUUUCUGCUAUAGAUUCAUGCAUAUGAAAUACAUUCAGAUUGACACAGCAGGGCCAGUGGGAAGGGGGGUCGAGAGGGGUAGGAGUGUGGACAUGAAGGGAGAGAUAUAUUGCAGAGUCCCAAACAAAUCAAAUGCCAUCAUGAGGUGGGUGGUCCAAGCAGAUAGAGUUUGCUCAUACCUCCAGCUACCCUGAGUUAUAUUUUUUUAAGUUUGUUUAUUUAUUUUGAGAGAGAGCAUGAACAGGGAAGGGGCAGAGGGAGAGAGGGAGAGAAAGAGACUCCCAAGCAGGCUCUACUCUGUCAGUGCAGAACCCAAUGUGGGGCUUGAACCCACAAACUGUGAGAUCAUGACCCGAGCUGAAGUCAGACGCUUAACUGACUGAGCCACCCAGGUGCCUUUACACUAUUUUAAAUAAAAUUUUUAUUGUGGAAUAACUUUAAAGUAUAGUCUGCUCAUCUUGGAGAAGUGAACAAUCUAUUAAAGUGAAUAAACCUAGCUUCUGAAAAAAAAAUAACCAUAUUCCCUUCUUUUCCAAUUUCUCCUGUGAAAAUUUCAUCAUGGCCUUGAUGUGGCAGGAUGAGAACAUCUGUGCUAGACAAACAAUUAGAUUUACAAAAAAGUUGCAAGGAAAAUAGAGAAUCCCCAUGUACUCCUUUCUCAGCUUCCCCUAACGUUAACGUCUUCCAUUACCAUGGCGCGUUAGUCAAAGCUAAGAAACCAAUUCUAGUACAUUACUGUGCAGUCCAGAGUAUUCAACCUGUACAGUUUUUCCACUAGUGUCCUUUUUCAGUUCUAAGAUCCAAUCUAGAAUAUCAUAGUGCAUUUAGGCACAUUAUGCUUUCUUCAUUUAAAUAAACGUUUAACUUUAGAAUAGUUUUAGAUUUUGAGAAAAAGUUUGCAAAGAGUUCUCAAGUAUCUCCUGCACCACUUUGUCUAUUGCCAACGUCUUACAUUACUGUGGUGCAUUUUUUGCGUUAAAAAACCAACAUUGGUACAAUACUGUUAACUCUAUGCUUUAUUCAGAUUUCACUAGUUUUUAACCUCAUGUUCUUUUUCUGUUCUGGGAUCUCAUCCAGGAUAUGAUAUUACAUGUCUUUGUCAGAUUCUUCAUGCCUUUGAUUACCUCAACAGUUCUGAGAAGUACUGGUCAAGUAUUUUGUUGAAUGUCCGUGGGUUUGGGUUUGUCCGAUGUUUUUCUCCUGAUUCGACUUGGUGUAUGGACUUCCGGGGAGGAAGAUCACAGAGGUAAAUUGCUAUUUUCAUUACAUCACUUUAAGGAUACAUACUAUCAGCCUGACUUACCAGCUGGCUGAGGUAGUGUUUGGCAGGUUUCUCCACUAUCAACUUAAUUUUUUUUCUUUCUAUAAAUCUACUCUUUGGAAAUGAAUCACUAAGCACAGGCCAAACUCUAAGGGUGGGGAGGAGUUAAAGCCCACCUCCUUGAGGGGCAAGUAGCUAUACCACUUACGGGGCACUGCUGUGUAUGAGAGGUAGGUCUCUUCUCCCUCGAUUUAUUUAGUACCCAACCCUUUAUUUAUGUUAGCGUGAGCUUGUGGGUAUUUAAGCUUUGAGUUGCAAACCAGUACUGUAUAUUAUUUUGCUGUUCCACUUCUUCCAGCCUUAGCAAUUAAGAAUUCUUUCAAGGUGGCUUCUGUGUCCCAUUGAUAUCUCAUCCCUUUUUUUUUUUUUUUUGAGCACUUUCUGUUACUCCAAGAUGCUCUGGGCUCAUCUUGUAUAUUUCUCAAGGAGCACUCGUUCCUUUUAUUGGAGAGGGAUAUUAGAAACCAAGAUCUGGGUGGUAGGUUUGCUCAGUGCCACGAGGUGUCAUUUGUCUUAGGCUUUCUCAGCUGGCAGAGCAAAGAAAUAAAUGUAUGUGUACUAAUACCUAUAUAUACAAAUACCUAGAAAUAUUUCUGUGUAACCGUCAAUACUUGAUUAAAUACGAAUUCUUAUUGA